AUAUACCGGUUCCCGUAGGAUAACCGAAGUUAAGCAACGUUGAGCUUGGUUAUUACUUUGAUGGAUGACAUCUUGGGGAUACGAGGUGCUGUAA